UUUUUUUUCCUCUCCUUUUGUAGGAGUUGUUUCUUUUGAAGCGGGGCGAGGCACGCCCUGCCGCCACGGGGACCUGACGGGAGGCGGAAACCCAGCGCACCGGCCCCAAAACGCCGGCCCCACAAUAGCAGCGAUGUGGGGAGCCUCCCAGAAAAGCCUCCAAGCCUUCAAGGGAAAGCCAACUGCACGGAUCUCCCCGUCUUCAUGCAAACUUCCCUCCUCCCCCCAGGCUGGUUCAGGCAGCAACGUGGGGUCAGGCACAGAAAAACAGGAUCAGCGGGCUGCUCGGCAGGCACCGCCGCAGAUUAGGAAGUAUCUGGUUCCUGCCUUGCCCCACUUUCUCCUCCUUUCCCUUCAAAAAAGCCAGCAGAACCCUCUCCAUGCCUCUCCCGGCAGGGCGAGCUGCUCUUUGGGCAGCGCAGUGCACAAGCAGGUAGAGAGCACGUCCUCAGGGUCACCGACCAAAGUCAUGCACAGGUCUCCAGCACUGGGAUGGCAAACCCCAGCCAGACCUCACAAACCUGCACCUGUGGUGAGCUGCAGCAAAUAUGUAAAGAGACUGUCCAGCCUGAUGGUUUUUGGCCUCACCUGCUGCAUCAUCGGAACAGUCACCCAAAGUGUUAAUUGUCACAUUAUUCCGAACACGUGAGCUUAAAGCAGAUCAAGGUGCAAGAAGUCCCUCUAAAGACUCCCACUAUGAUCAGCACAUGGUACUUUUACUUUCAGAAGUGUUUUAAAUAUGAAUCAGAAGCGAUGACUGUGAGGAAUGCAAAAGCUCAGUUACUCAGCCCAUCACCGCAGCCUCCAACACGCGUGAAACCUGCCCUUUUCCACUCGCUUUUCACCCAUGGGUAAGGAGGACCACGCUGCCACCAACACAGACAUGCCCCAGGUCUGCAAAGCAAUCUUCCUCAGUGGAUCACUGCAAAAUGUCACCUGCUUUGAGUAGGUGAGCACCCACAAAAGUAAUUCCUGCUUCCUGGUGACGUUUGCCCCUGUAAAGAUCUGGGGCAGAACCACACUCGGGGUCUAACGUUCCCCCAAGAGACGUGCAAAGCAUCGUUCAGCAGUACUUACCUACCCCCUGGGGCCACUGUCCAGCACAAUGAAUUCAGCUGCAUCAUAUAUUUGGAAAUCUUACCUGGAGAAUGUAUACCUAUGUCCGCUUCGCCCUUUUAUUUAAGAUGCUCUAACUGUUGCUGAGAAUUUAAUUUAUGCUGAUAUUUUUAAAAUAAACUGCUUUCUAUUCAUGGAAGUAUCA
rnacentral:lncRNA from 1 species